UACGAAGGGGGCUAGCGUUGCUCGGAAUCACUGGGCGUAAAGCGCACGUAGGCGGAUCGUUAAGUCAGGGGUGAAAUCCUGGAGCUCAACUCCAGAACUGCCUUUGAUACUGGCGACCUUGAGUUCGGGAGAGGUGAGUGGAACUGCGAGUGUAGAGGUGAAAUUCGUAGAUAUUCGCAAGAACACCAGUGGCGAAGGCGGCUCACUGGCCCGAUACUGACGCUGAGACGCGAAAGCGUGGGGAGCGAACAGG
rnacentral:rRNA from 1 species